GACGUAGGGCGCGAGCGUUGUCCGGAUUAUUGGGCGUAAAGAGCUCGUAGGCGGCUUGUCGCGUCUGCUGUGAAAACUGGAGGCUCAACCUCCAGCCUGCAGUGGGUACGGGCAAACUAGAGUGCGGUAGGGGAGAUUGGAAUUCCUGGUGUAGCGGUGGAAUGCGCAGAUAUCAAGAGGAACACCAGUGGCGAAGGCGAGUCCCUGGACAACACCUGACACUGAGGCACGAAAGCUAGGGGAGCAAACAGG
rnacentral:rRNA from 1 species